AACGCUGGCGGCGUGCCUAACACAUGCAAGUCGAACGGAGUUAUGUCACGAAGUUCUUCGGAGCGGACGACAUAGCUUAGUGGCGGACGGGUGAGUAACGCGUGAGCAACCUGCCUUUCAGAGGGGGACAACGGUUGGAAACGACCGCUAAUACCGCAUGAAAUGACUGGACCGCAUGAUCCGGUCAUCAAAGAUUUUAUCGCUGAAAGAUGGGCUCGCGUCUGAUUAGAUAGUUGGUGGGGUAACGGCCCACCAAGUCGACGAUCAGUAGCCGGACUGAGAGGUUGAACGGCCACAUUGGGACUGAGAUACGGCCCAGACUCCUACGGGAGGCAGCAGUGGGGAAUAUUGGGCAAUGGGGGGCCAACCCUGACCCAGCAACGCCGCGUGAAGGAAGAAGGCUUUCGGGUUGUAAACUUCUUUUACCGAGGACGAAGAACGUGACGGUACUCGGAGAAAAAGCCACGGCUAACUACGUGCCAGCAGCUGC
rnacentral:rRNA from 1 species